rnacentral:misc_RNA from 1 species
UCCUCCGCUUAUUGAUAUGCUUAAGUUCAGCGGGUAAUCUUACCUGAUUUGAGGUCAAAAUUUCAUAUGAUUAUUUAUGGGUACGAAAACCAUGAUAAAUAUAUGGUCGUACCUAAUAAAAAAGUUUUUUGUCGAUUGUUAAAGCACACAAAAGGUGUUUAAACCAUAAAAUGCGCUCAAAUCAACGAAAGAUCAAUUUUAAGUCACUUAAAAAAGGUUUUUAAGGUAACUCAAUUCCGAAAUGAUGAUACUCCUCAUUAGAGAGGUAACAAAAAUCGAUUUUUUUAUUUUAAUGACCCUCAAACAGGCAUACUCUUCGUGAAAAGAGUGCAAUUUGCGUUCAAAAAUUUGAUGAUUCAC